rnacentral:rRNA from 1 species
AGAGUUUGAGUCCUGGCGUCAGGAUGAACGCUGCGGCGUGCUUAACACAUGCAAGUCGACGGAAAGGCCCUGCUUGCAGGGUACUCGAGUGGCGAACGGGUGAGUACACGUGGGUGAUCUGCCCUGUACUUUGGGAUAAGCCUGGGAAACUGGGUCUAAUACCGGAUAUGACCACUUCUUGGAUGGGGUGGUGGAAAGCUUUUGCGGUAUGGGAUGAGCUCGCGGCCUAUCAGCUUGUUGGUGGGGUAAUGGCCUACCAAGGCGUCGACGGGUAGCCGGCCUGAGAGGGUGUACGGCCACAUUGGGACUCCCGAGAUACGGCCCAGACUCCUACGGGAGGCAGCAGUGGGGAAUAUUGCACAAUGGGCGCAAGCCUGAUGCAGCGACGCCGCGUGGGGGAUGACGGCCUUCGGGUUGUAAACUCCGUUCGCAACCGACGAAGCUUUUGUGACGGUAGGUUGAGAAGAAGCACCGGCUAACUACGUG